CCUACGUGUGGCAGCAGUGGGGAAUAUUGCACAAUGGGGGAAACCCUGAUGCAGCGACGCCGCGUGAUUGAAGAAGUAUUUCGGUAUGUAAAGCUCUAUCAGCCGGGAAGAAAAUGACGGUACCUGAGUAAGAAGCCCCGGCUAACUACGUGCCAGCAGCCGCGGUAAUACGUAGGGGGCAAGCGUUAUCCGGAUUUACUGGGUGUAAAGGGAGCGUAGACGGCAGUGCAAGUCUGGAGUGAAAGCCGGGGGCUUAACCCCCGAACUGCUUUGGAAACUGUGCGGCUGGAGUGCAGGAGAGGUAAGCGGAAUUCCUAGUGUAGCGGUGAAAUGCGUAGAUAUUAGGAGGAACACCAGUGGCGAAGGCGGCUUACUGGACUGUAACUGACGUUGAGGCUCGAAAGCGUGGGGAGCAAACAGGAUUAGAUACCCGGGUAGUC
rnacentral:rRNA from 1 species